rnacentral:lncRNA from 1 species
GGUCAGUGAAAUAUGAGAUGAAGUCUGUGGGGAGUGCCUAAAAAUAUUCCCCUUGCUUUUAAAAAGUUCACAAAACCCAUCCUUGUCUUUUUUGGACAUUGAUGUCUACAUCAAUGGGAGCAUCCAUCUUGGAGCCAUGAGAGCUGCUGGCCGAUGGAGGAAAGCCAACACACUGAGGUAGCAGAGCAGAAGGAAGAAAAGAAAUGGAAUCCUUUAUUACACCAUUGAGAUGCUGAGUUCACCCAACCUGCCCACUAAAGGAAGAAGCAAAGAAGUCUAAGUUCUUUGGAGUAAGAUGCUCUCAAAUGCCUAGGAACACUGAUCUCCUAACUUGUCUUCCUGCUUUGAGUGUCCCUCUGAGGUUAAAGUUCCUGCCUCAGUCUCCAACAAUGGUUCUCAAUAAACGUUUGUUAGAAUGAGUUGAUCUCUUGGAUCCAGUGCCCCAGAAAGAUAUGUCAUUUCCACUGCUGCCCACUGAGGAGUGCCACUGGAGAUGAUCUCACAACAAAGAGAGGGGGAGAGGUCAGGAACUAACAUCUAUUUUGUAGUUACCACUGUGGUAUGGUUUGCAACAUGGCUCUGUAACCCUCAGGAUCCCUACCAGAUAUUUUCAUCUAUUCCCUUAUUCUCCUCAGGUCCCUGGCCCUCCCCUUUCCUCUGUGCUCUCAGCAGCUGACCUUGUCUUUUCCUUUACUGAGAGUAGAGGCACCUCUUACAAAUACUCUGGCCUCUGCCUGGACUGACUGGGCUAAAUUGUCUCCGAAGAUGGCCACCAACCAUUCCUCCCACCUGUCUGCAUGCAGGCUGCUCCUCCCGUCAGAAGAUGGAGACUGCUUCCUUGCCCUUCAAUCCAAGCUGGCUCAUGACUUGCUUCAAUGAAUAGGAAAUGGCAGAAGUGAUGCUCUGAGGCUUCUGGGCCUAGACUUUAAGAGGUGUUGCCCCUUUCCUUUUUCCCUCUUGGGAUCCAGCCUACCACAUAGAGAAGUUUGGGUUGACAACUAAAUGUGAGAGAGAGACAGACAGAGAGAAGAGGGAGAGCUGAUUCAGCUAGACCUUAGUCAUUCCAGCCAUCCUAGCUGAAGCACUAGCAUGUGAAAGAAGCCACCUUCUAACCUAUCAAUCAGAGCCCCCAAUUUUACUGACCUCAGUCAACACCAUGUGGAACAGAACUACCCCAGGGAGCCCAACCAACCCAUACAAUCAUGAGAAAUUAAAAACUGAUGUUGUAGCCUCCUGAGUUUUAAGGUAGUUUGUUACACAAAAAUACUGGAAUUUUGACCCACCUUCACCUCCAAUGCCAACCUAGUAAACCUGGAUAUAUCUUUCAAAAUUUGGCUCAAGUGUCAACUCUUUCAUGAACCCUCUGUAUCCUUUUCUUGCUCAUUCAAGCCCUAUUUUCUCUUCUCCUCCCCAAAAUUCCAUAGUACUUUGUAUUACAAACUAUGUGCUUACAACCCCCAAAGUCUCUGGGCAUCCAGAAGGCAGAGAUUUGGCUUAAUUCAUUUUUGCCUCUGCCUAGCCUAACACCCGGCACAUUUAGAUAUUUAGUUAUUGUUUGCUGAAUGAAUGGAUGCAUGAAGAAGAAAAUUUAACAGAUGAUAUCUACAGGCACAUCUGGCUCCAAAAUUGAAUCAUGUCAUCUAGCAAUGCUCAGUAAAGUUAACAUAAGCAAUUUC